UACGGGGGGAGCAAGCGUUGUUCGGAUUUACUGGGCGUAAAGGGCGCGUAGGCGGCGUGACAAGUCACUUGUGAAAUCUCCGGGCUUAACCCGGAGCGGCCAAGUGAUACUGUCGUGCUAGAGUGCGGAAGGGGCUACUGGAAUUCUCGGUGUAGCGGUGAAAUGCGUAGAUAUCGAGAGGAACACCUGCGGCGAAGGCGGGUAGCUGGGCCGACACUGACGCUGAGGCGCGAAAGCCAGGGGAGCGAACGG
rnacentral:rRNA from 1 species